UAAUAUCAAUAACUACUCACUGUUCCCUUUUUGUCUUGUCUUUUAGAAUCCAGUCUUGCCUCUUGUCUAUUAAGAUGUAAAAACUAAGAGGUGAGGGAAAAUGUUCAAAUUAAUAUAACAAUGGAAAUGGUUUGUAAUUCCUGUAUAGUACAACUUUACAUGGCAGACUACAUAGGUACAGAUAUCCUGUACUUUUUCUUUGUUUUGCUGUUGACUAAUUCUAACUUAUUAACUGAUUUAUAUUUAGUGCAAAAGGAAGCAUCUUUGAAGAGUUACAGACUUGGAAUAAUGUCCCCCUCUGCCUUCCACUGUAUUAGUGUAGGCUUUGCUUCAGUAACAGUUAGUUUUCAAUCUCUGAUCCUUUUUAGGAAGUCUUAGAACUAUGGAAGAUGUUGAGUUUGUUGUCCUUUCCUACGGAGUAAGGAUUGGAGAAGCAGCCAUCCUUUGCACUGCUUCUGUACUUCAGCUCCAAAGUGAAGUGGUUAAUUUCUUGGAAACUACUUUGUAUUAAAUGCACUGAAUUUAUCAUUUGAAGAACUGAGUAGGUGUGUGGCUAAUGACAAUUCUCCAAGUUCACUAGAUCAGACAUUAAGCUUCACGAAUGUCAGGGCUUGAUGGUGAGUGCCAAAGUAUUUAGCUCUAGCUUGGCUAAACAUGGAAGACCUCUGCUGUGGAAAGACAUGUUUUUGCAAGUCAUUAAUACUUUUCUAGGGUGAAUGUCCAAAGGUGUCAGUCUUACUAAAUGCUUAUCAAUACAUUCCCUAUUGUGUUCAGCAGAUGAGCUAAAUAUUCCUCUCUCCUCUGAGAAGGUAUUUGAAUUAGUGUUCUUAAAGCCUCAGGGUAGAAAAAAUAUUUUCUCUAUUUUGUAGCCCAUUGCUUUUGAAAGUUCAGUUGUUUGGUUUAUUGUUCGUUAUUUUUUUAUAAAAGGCCAUUCUGGGGUUUCUUUUAGUUCCCUCAGAGCUUCUAAAAGAAGAAGAAAGAGGAAAAUUGAGUGGGGAAGUAAAUAGUAAUGGAGGAGAAACAGAGGCAUCCUUUUUUUCUGACAUGAGCAUUGUGUUGUAUGAGCAUUUCUCUUGAUAUCAUUUGCUUAGCAGGCCAGUGAAUAAUCUCUGCUUCAGAGGAGCCAUUGUAUUCUUCCCUACUAAACGGAAGACAGCAAGAUAUAAAUGUGUUUUAUUUUCCACACUCCAAAGGGGUUUAAUUGACAACUGAAUACAGUGUCCUUCUUUGAACUGUUGUUUAGUUACAGCAUGUGUUUAAUUUCACAAGUGUUCCUCUGGUGUGGUGGCACUGCAGAAGAGGAAGGGUAGUGGGGCAUUUUUGGGGGUGUGGUGCUAUUUUUGAUAGAAAGGUGGCCCUUUUGUCAUGGAGAAUAGAGGUCAGGCUAUCAGAUUAGGGAAUACCAGUUUAGAUAUUCCCAAACUUGAACUACUGCACCUGCCUUCAUUUAUGAGAAAGGGCCAUCUUCAUCCAUCCAGCUUUCUCCACAUGGGCCUUUCACUUCCUUUUAUUUACCUUAUUUGCCAGGACCUGAAGCUGGAAUCCUUUAGCUAAAGUUGCUUAAUGUGUUUCCCAUCUUUUUCUUGCUAUUGCAGAUGUAUUAGUUGGCAGUGAAGUGGAAAGCUCUCUAAAGUGCACAACAUAACGGGAAAAUAAUAUUUUUUGGGGCUACAUAGUUAGAUGUUAAAGUCUGAGUUAUGAUGUUAAUUGUUCCUGGUGACCCAGGGAGCUGAAAUAUAGGCAGGCAGCCACAUUAAUAGUCUAGAGGAAGAAAACUGCACCUGUUCCAAAGAAAUAAUGAGUUGUAAUAACGUUUGAUCAGUGCCAACCAAGGCUCCUUCACAGUGCGUAAAACUUCUGAAUGUCAUUAGGAGCUGUACAUAUUCCUACAGAAAACAUGCCUUUUAUGUAUUUUGGGUAGAUUUGGAUAGAAUAUUUUUCACUGUGUAAAUUCCUUUUAAGUUUGGUUUGUUUAAAAAAUACUUUUAAAACAGUCUAAAGAAAUCUUUCCUGAACUUGGCAGCUGCUGUGCAGAAGCUUGCCUUUUUCUGUAGGGCAUGAGGAAUUGUUUUAAAAGGCCAAAUGAAAGCAAUACUCUACUGCCCAGCCUACUGGUACACAGCUCUGCUGCUGUAGAAAAUGUUAAAUUAGAAUAGCAAGUCCUGCUGCUACCUAGUGAAAUUUCACAGGAGAAUUUUUACAAAACUGCAAUACUGUGUUUGCUUUACUUCUACCAUAUCUUGUUUUUAACAUCAGUGAUCAUCAUUUCUUGGGGGAUUUGGGUUCCCAAAGUCCACUUGUAUGGGGGUUUUUGUUUUCUUUUUAAACUGUGUGAGUGAAAUCGUGCUGUAGUUCCAUAGGGAAAAACUUGAAGACCAUUUGCUGACAUGAGAAUUAUCCCAGGAAUCCUUGAAGGGAAAAAAAAG